rnacentral:rRNA from 1 species
AGAGCGAACGCUGGCGGCAGGCCUAAAACAUGCAAGUCGAACGGACCCUUCGGGGUUAGUGGCGGACGGGUGAGUAACACGUGGGAACGUGCCUUUUGGUUCAGAACAACUCAGGGAAACUUGAGCUAAUACUGAAUAAGCCCUACGGGGGAAAGAUUUAUCGCCAUUAGAGCGGCCCGCGUUGGAUUAGCUAGUUGGUGAGGUAAAGGCUCACCAAGGCUACGAUCCAUAGCUGGUCUGAGAGGAUGAUCAGCCACACUGGGACUGAGACACGGCCCAGACUCCUACGGGAGGCAGCAGUUAGGAAUCUUGCGCAAUGGGCGAAAGCCUGACGCAGCCAUGCCGCGUGAAUGAUGAAGGUCUUAGGAUUGUAAAAUUCUUUCAGCGGGAAGAUAAUGACUGUACCCGCAGAAGAAGCUCCGGCUAACUCGCGCCAGCAGCCGC